AGUACCAUUCAAAUGAGUGAUACUCAAUUACAACUAUCACACGAUGUUAAGACAAGGUGACACACACACAUACAUGCAUGCACACACACACACAUACAUACAUAUAUA